rnacentral:tRNA from 1 species
GUCCCUGUAGCUUAUAAAAAGCAUGACACUGAAGAUGUCAAGAUGGCUGCCACACGCACCCGGGGACA